AGAGUUUGAUCCUGGCUCAGGAUGAACGCUAGCGGCAGGCCUAAUACAUGCAAGUCGAACGGACAGUAGCAAUACUGUUAGUGGCGCACGGGUGCGUAACACGUAGCUAACCUGCCCAUCACUGGGGGAUAGCCCGCCGAAAGGCGGAUUAAUACCGCAUAAGACAAUAGAAGGGCAUCCUUUAGUUGUUAAAGAUUUAUUGGUGAUGGAUGGGGCUGCGGGUCAUUAGCUAGUUGGUUAGGUAACGGCUUACCAAGGCGACGAUGACUAGGGGAGCUGAGAGGCUGGUCCCCCACACGGGCACUGAGAUACGGGCCCGACUCCUACGGGAGGCAGCAGUAGGGAAUAUUGGGCAAUGGUCGAGAGACUGACCCAGCCAUGCCGCGUGCAGGAUGAAGGCUUUCUGAGUCGUAAACUGCUUUUGACAGGGAAGAAUAAGCGCUACGUGUAGCGUGAUGACGGUACCUGCAGAAUAAGCACCGGCUAACUCCGUGCCAGCAGCCGCGGUAAUACGGAGGGUGCGAGCGUUGUCCGGAUUUAUUGGGUUUAAAGGGUGCGUAGGCGGCUGUUUAAGUCCGGGGUGAAAGCCCGUUGCUCAACAACGGAACUGCCCUGGAUACUGGAUAGCUUGAGACUAGUGGAGGUUGGCGGAAUGGACCGAGUAGCGGUGAAAUGCAUAGAUACGGUCCAGAACCCCGAUUGCGAAGGCAGCUGACUACACUAGGACUGACGCUGAGGCACGACAGCGUGGGGAGCGAACAGGAUUAGAUACCCUGGUAGUCCACGCCGUAAACGAUGGAUACUCGCUGCGGGCUAAAGAUUGUCCGUGGCUUAGGGAAACCGCUAAGUAUCCCACCUGGGGAGUACGCCGGCAACGGUGAAACUCAAAGGAAUUGACGGGGGCCCGCACAAGUGGUGGAGCAUGUGGUUUAAUUCGAUGAUACGCGAGGAACCUUACCUAGGCUAGAAUGCGCGUGACCGGCCC
rnacentral:rRNA from 1 species